rnacentral:lncRNA from 1 species
CUCUGGAACUUUUGGGCACGAGGUUUAUGCUUUCAACCAGUUUACUGUUUUUUUUUCUUUCUUUUUUUUUAGUGAUAAGUGCCCUGAAUUCUUUUUGGAGGAAGAAAAAAAAUACACAAUUGAAGCAGCAAUUUGUAUUCUUUCCUUUUAGAAAGGUAGAAACAGGCUUGAAUCUGCAAGGAAGCUGAGUCAUCAGAAUCCAGUGGCAAGACAAAAAUGAGACCACCUGGUGAUGACCUCUGAGACAGUGCAUGACUUUGGCACCUUUGAUGUCUGACCAAGCUCUAAGCACUCCACAGCACCUGCUUCAGCCACCUUCAUGGCCUCUGGAAUGAAUUGUUCUUAUAUUCCUAUUCUAUUGGGGGAAGUCUUCACAUGCUUGGGGUAGCCAUCCUCUACCUCACUCAUGAGUUUAAGGACUUUGGUUAUCCUCAACCUGGUCUAGCCCAUCUGCCAAGACACAUAGAGGUGUUCAAGGAGGGCUAGCAUCUCUGCUGUGAGGAUUUGCCAAGCUCUUUUCAGGGCUUCUCUUCUACCUUUGGUGUCUACCUUUCACCCAGUUCUCACCUGUGGCUCCAAGAAGCAAAGAGCAUGAGCAGUGGCCAUCCCCCAAAAAAGGUAAGUAUAAUGUAUAUACAGAGUCGAUAAAAGAUAAUUUAAGAAAGGA